CUUCCAUAUGCAAAUUCUUUCCUGUCAAAAUGGUCAGAUCGUAAAAAAACUCAAAGGAGUUCCAGACGUCGAAGAACCAUAAACCCAUUAGCUCAAUAUUAUCAACAGUCGCAUAUAUUAUGCAAGAAAUAUGCAAUCAACAGCAAUGUGUUCCAAAUGUUUGUGGAAUUGAACAGAUUAAGCCAUCCUUGUUGAGACGACUUACUAUUCCAAAAGAUAUCAAGUCUUUAGGAAUAAUAUGGGCCUGUCUAGUAUUACCUGAUGGUAAAUUUAUAAUAAUUGAUCACAACAAAAAACGACUACAUCUGUUCAGUAAUGAGGGCAUUUAUAUCAGAAAGGUAGUUACAUUCAAAGAAUAUCCAAAUAAUGCUUGCUUUGUCAGUAAUAAUUCAGUUGCCGUCACAUUAGAAGCAAACCAGAUUGCACUUGUAGAUGUAGAAAAAAAUAAAAUUAUAAGUACAACAAAACUUUCUCAUAAAUGUUAUGGAGUAGCGAGUGAUGGUAAAACUUUGGUCAUCAGCAGUGAUGACAAGUGCACUAGAGUGAAUCUGAUUGACAUGUCUCAAACAAUUUUAGAAGGCGUGGUUAAACUGAAAAGUAUUUCAUUAUUCCAAGGAAAUAUAUAUGGUACCGUUUUCUAUGAAGACCAAGUAAGGUGCUAUACAAGUACUGGAGAACCACUCUGGACAUUUCAGAGCCAUGACAUUGACUAUUCAGGAGGACUUGCGUUAGACAAGAAUGGCUGUGCCUUUAUAGCUUCUUAUGAAAACAACAAAAUAGUGGUAGUAUCACCUGAUGGUAAAACCAGUAAGACGAUAUUAUCAGAAGCUGAUGGAAUUAAAUCUCCUGUAGCAAUAGACAUCAACAGUGAAACGGGAUUGAUGAUAGUAUCUAGUGACAUAAGUGAUGACAGCUGUGAUCAAACAGCUUUCGUUUAUAAAAUCUAAACAAUACCGUGUUUUUCCAUUUUAUAAAUAAAGGUAUAGCUGUAUAUUUUAAUGAUAUCAAAGGCACUAUAUGCUUCUUAUUAGAUGUCUUCGUCCUAUUAUUAGAAUAAACAUUUAUUCAUUUUGUACAUGAUAUAAAAAAAUCCAAAAUUACUUCACAUAAAUAAAAAAAAAUAAAAGUAGUUUAAAAAUUCCAAUAACGCUUUAUUAAGUUUGUGCAUCAGAAACAUUUCCCUGGAUUAUAAUUUUACAGGAAUGCUCGAACUUAACAACUUGAAGGUCAAGGGUGUUUGAAUAUUUGAGCUAUAUGACAUUGAGUGGAUUAACAGAAUAGCUAAAUUUAUGAAUAGUCAUCAUCAAAAAAUUAUGCAGAUUAGGAUGAAGUCAAAUGAUUAUGUAAAUGCUGUUAUUGUGUGUUUCUGUCAGAAAAAAGGAAUUGAUCUUGGUUACAUCAAAAUGACUGUAAAAUAAAGAAGGUCAAUAAAUCUUUCUUUUAUUUUAAAAGAAAUUAGCUUUAAACAAAUUCAAAGUACAAUCGUACUUUCUUGUUUAUUUGACCUGUUGAUACUAAUUGUAUUGCUUUUUUGUUAUUUAAUGUUAUUCGGGGUUAUAUCUGGUCUAUAUACCAGCUUUGAUAAGUGUUUGGUAUAACUAUACAUUUUCACUUCGUACUAUGAACAUCAAAAUUAUUUAUUUUGUAAUAAUAUUUCCUUUCUCUAUUGGUACUGUACACGUAUACCUAACAACAAAAUUAUUUUCAUUUACCUGUGUUUAAAGUUAUUGCAAAUGGAUGGUAUUUUUGUUC